rnacentral:lncRNA from 1 species
AAAGAAAAGGUAAAAGGGGGACCCACAGAAAGAAAACCAUUCUUCAUCCUCCAUUUUAAUACAUAAUAUAUAAACUCCACUCACAGAAAAGGAAGGGGAUUUCUUAUAUUUUUCAUUUAAAAAAUGGGCCCCACUUGAAAGAUUUCUUGAUUUUUCAAUUCAUUAACCAUAAAAAGGGGACUCUCCAUUUUCACACUCUCAACACCCAACACACACCUGGAUUUCAUUUUCAUCUCACCAUCAUAAUAUAUAAAUUUCCAUCACUGAACACACACACUGGUCACACAGAAAUCACACAUAUACUCUCUCAAUGCAUACGAAUACCUACAAUAAUGGGAAAGACAGAAGUGGGUCGUAGUUUGAGCAAAAAAAUAGAGUGACACAAGGAAGAGGGAAGCAAUAGAGAAGGAUUAGGGAGGUUUGACUGUGGGAGAGGAGAGAAAUCAUGAGAAGAAAGAGAGAGAAAAUGCGCGAGAGAAGGUAGAUCGAAAGUAGAAGAGUUGAACGGAGGAGUGGGGUCUCUUGAAUUUUUUGGUGAGUCCUCACCAGAAACUCGCCGGAUACACCGACCAGUCACCUCACAUCCCCGCUUCUAUCCUCAACCAGUAAUCCCAACUGAUUGUUCUAUUUGAAUCAUCAGAAAACACCGUCAAUCCCAAAGCACCCAAACCCGACUCAAAAAUCCAAAACCAGCCAGCUAAAAAUAACCCUUCAUCACUGUAAUCAUUAGAGAUUGACUUUUUCAGUCUAAUUUCGUCAAAUCCUAUUGGGUUAAGUUCGAUUGCGGGGUUUCUACGGCAAGGUGGUCCAAUUUCUCUUUUAGCCAACAUUCGAUUCUCGUCCGAACUAGUCAACGUUGAUUUUGGAUUGUUCGGGUUGCGGGUUCGUGGAUUGAGGUCUGAUUUGAGGUCUUCGAAUCCAGCUCUAUAUUCUAAUUACAUAAUUUGUCUCAAUAAAAUCAAGGUCCAAUUCUUCUUUCUCUCCUUUUAUCUUCUCGUUUACUAUAAUUGGUAUGUUGAUUUAAAUAUGGGUGUUGAUUGAUCUUGAUCGAUGAUUGAAUAACUACUCAUUUUAUUUAUUGUUUGAUCCUUUUGAGUUAUGAAUUGUGUAAUAAAGUAAUACCUCGUUAAGAAUUAAAAGGAAAUUCGGGGAAGGAAUCGAAAAAUCGGCAAAAAAGUGAAUAUUGUGGUAUUUUUAUUCAUUGUUGUUGUUGAACUUCGAUAGUAUCAUGUUUUACACCAUGAAUUGGUAGGAAUAUCGUAGGUUUUGGGUAGGCAAAGUUUAGGACUCAUGGUUUUGUUGAAUGUUUGAAAUUUUGUUGAGUGGUUUGAUUUUAUCGCACCGAAAAAUAUAUUCAUUUAGCUUGGGAAUGCCCCGAGUUCAUUUGUAUUUCUUCACCGGGGAAUGCCCCACAGUAUCUUGUACUCGGAGGACAUUCAUGAUGAAGACCUGAGGUAUCGGGUAAAGCACGGGAGCAUGGUUCAGGAUUAGCGUAGGUUAGAAUAAGAUUUAUUUUUCCCAUUUUUAUUCUUGGGAUUGUAUAAUUGGACUGAACAUUAUAUUUUGAAUUUAUUUUGUUUUGCAUGUUUGAUUGAUUAUUUUAUGUAAUAUAUGUGAUAUAUACAUUCAUAGUGUUCAAAUUAGCCGAUACGCUCCACCAAGGGACCAUGGUCGAACCACGGGAUCGAGGGGUGCCUAACACCUUCCCUUCGGUCAAUAGAAUUCCUUAAUCGGAAUCUCUUUUCGCGGAUCAGUUUUAGAGUCAAAACUAUUUUUAAAAAAGGAUUUCCAAAGGUGACUUGGCACACCCAAUUUAUGCUAAGUGGCGACUCAAAGUUUUAAAUAUAAAUAAUCCUUUUUGAAAUAAAUUUUUAUUUUAUCACUUUAAUAAUAAAAGUCCUUUCGAAACUUAAAAAUGAAUCUUUUUGGUUAAAAAAAGGGGUGUGACAGCUCUGGCAACUCUACUGGGGACUUUUCAGAAUUCGAGCUUAUUUUGGAUUUGUAUCGGCUUAGUUUGGUACUGUAGGUGUAUAGAAAUGUUGUUUGUGUUAUUUUGUGUUAUUGUAUUAUCACUGUUGAGUGCCUACGUGCUCUUUGUUUACAGUUUUUAUCUUAUGUGUUACCACUUUAUAUCUGACAUCAUGUGCAUAACCCGAGUCAUUCUUUCUGCAACAAGUCCGUAGUACACGUAUUGUACACGGCCUCUAGUUGAGUCACCCUUAUUUUAGGGGGGGAGAGGGGAGCCGUCGAUGUUAUAGAGUAGGUGGAAAGCAAAGCAGCCACUAUCGACCAUACACUUUCCCGAACAGCCUUGUUAGUAAACUCCAACGUAGGUCAACCUUUAGGUCAUGCUUAUGUGCAUCAUAUUGAAGACCUAGCGGGGCCCACUUGGUCCUUUGUAGGAAACUCACCUCUAAAGCAUCCCUACAUGCUAAAUGUUGCAUCUUUGAGGGUAACGAGGUCAUUUGACAGACUGAUUUGGGCAAAAACAUGAGUUAGAAGCAAAGUGUGUAGGAAGGAAAUUAUUGAAAAAAGGAAGAAAAAAAGAGUGAAAAAAAAAUUUGAUAGUUUUUAGGGUUCUUUAUGGCUUUUGUUUUCACAAUUCAAAAAUAAAAAAAAAUAAUAUUUUUUUUUACUUUUUGUACUCAUUUCCCAAAAAAUCAAAAACGUUAAAAUAAAUUCCUUUUAUUUCUUUAGUAAGCAUUCACAAUUUGAAAACUCCAAAAAAAAUUUUCCCUUUUCAGUAAGAGGUUUGUACAUUUUUAUAUAACUAAAAUAUCAAAAGAAAUUUUUUUUUCAUAGUUGUUGGUGUUAGUUUCUAAUUAAAAUCCCAAAAAGAUUUUAUUUUCAUCGUCUGUCUUUAGUUGUGUCUCUCAAUUCAGGGUUUAGUUUGUCAUUUAAUCCUUAAUUAUUCAAUCUGGACGAACUACACACCCCUGAUUCUCCUCUCUCGGGAGUGAGAUACGUAGGUAGCCUAUUGUUGGUUCGGGGAUCUUAUUUAAAAAAUUCAAUAAAAAAGAUUUUCUUUACUCUUUAUUAGAGUAGGUGUUUCAUAUACAUCUUUAAAAGAAAACUACAAAAAAGAUUUUUCCUUUAAUAGGUUCAAGUUUCAUGUUUAUAUGAAAUUCAAAAUCGAAAACCCAAAAAGAUUUUUCUUUGGUAAUCAUAGGUUUCAUUUUGUAUAGGGAGUUUAAACUUGAAAAAUGCAAAAAAAAUAAAUUUCGUCAAUUCUUUUGACAAUUUGUUAUUUCCUUUUCUUUUUAAAGUUUCAAGAAAAAGAAAAAAGAAAGGAAAAAAAAUUAAUUGGCAAUUUUGGCAAGAAUUCACGAACUACGCAUACCUAAUUCUCCUCUCUCGGGAAUGAGAUACGUAGGCGUCCUUCUUGGGUUUGGUGAUCCUUUAAAAAAAAAGAAAAAGAAAAAGGUUUUAAAAAAGUGUUGAACUCUAACGCAUUUACUCUCUCUUGUCCAGUUAGUUUAAGGUGGUUGGUUUGUGGCAUUUUGGCUGGUCCUUCAUAUUGCACCAAAUCGAAGAGAAAGUUAUGACUAACAGGAAUACUGAGUUUGUUCUCACUGAUCAGAUAGGGAGUUCGGGCAAUGAGAAUUUAAGAGCUAAUGAAGAGAUUCGAAAAUUAAGGCAACAAAUGAUAGAAAUGCAUCGAGCUUGGGCUAAUGGGUUGCCACCUCCUCCAUUUCCCGCUGAUAAUCUGGAAUAUCUUUCUAGCUUGCCUCCAGAGUCAUAUACACAGUUUCCUAUUUUUAUUGACACACCAUAACAUGUAUCAGGACCUGCUCCGGGGCAACAUUAUCCAAACACUUCCAAUAUUCAUUUCCUCACUCUUCAACACAAAGCUAACAUAUUCUUGGCUCUACCUACUGUUCAUAUUUAUGCAGCACCACCCCCACCCAAAUGUAACACCCCGUAUUCAAGUACAUGUAUUGGUCUUAUUUAUAUGGAAUAAUUUUUUUUU